rnacentral:rRNA from 1 species
AGAGUUUGAUCAUGGCUCAGGAUGAACGCUAGCGGCAGGCUUAAUACAUGCAAGUCGAAUGUGGCAACACAUGGCGCACGGGUGCGUAACACGUAUGCAACCUACUCACUACAGGAGGAUAACCAGCCGAAAGGUUGGAUAAUACUCCAUAAUAUCAAGAAUAAGCAUUUGUUUUUGAUUAAAGAUUUAUCGGUAGUGAAUGGGCAUGCGCCCGAUUAGCUAGUUGGCGGGGUAACGGCCCACCAAGGCUAUGAUCGGUAGGGGAACUAAGAGGUUUAUCCCCCACACUGGUACUGAGAUACGGACCAGACUCCUACGGGAGGCAGCAGUAGGGAAUAUUGGUCAAUGGGGGCAACCCUGAACCAGCCAUGCCGCGUGCAGGAAGAAGGCGUUAUGCGUUGUAAACUGCUUUUGACAGGGAAUAAAAAGGCCAUGCGUGGCAAAUUGAAUGUACCUGUAGAAUAAGCCACGGCUAACUACGUGCCAGCAGCCGCGGUAAUAC